CAAUAGCGUAUGUCAAAGUUGUUGCGGUUAAAAAGCUCGUAGUUGGAUCUCGGUGUCGGGCUGGYGGUGCGCCCGUAGUGGCGAUCUACUGCCAGUUCCCCGGCGAAAAGAGGCCGGCAGUUUUUCCCUUGGUGCUCUUGACUGAGUGUCUCGGGUGGCCGGAACGUUUACUGUGAAAAAAUUAGAGUGCUCAAAGCAGGCCUUCGUGCCCGAAUAUUGGUGCAUGGAAUAAUGGAGGACGACCUCGGCUCCACUUUGUUGGUUUACGGUGCUCGAGGUAAUGAUUAAGAGAGACUGCCGGGGGCAUACGUACUGCGGCGCGAGAGGUGAAAUUCUGUGACCGUCGCAGGACGAACGAAAGCGAAGGCAUUUGCCAAGAAUGUUUUCAUUAAUCAAGAACGAAAGUCAGAGGUUCGAAGACGAUCAGAUACCGUCGUAGUUCUGACCGCAAACUAUGCCAACUGACCCUCCGCCGGAGUUGCUUUAUUGACUCGGCGAGGAGCCCCCGGGAAACCAAAGUCUUUGGGUUCCGGGGGGAGUACGGUUGCAAAGCUGAAACUUAAAGGAAUUGACGGAAGG
rnacentral:rRNA from 1 species